rnacentral:misc_RNA from 1 species
AAGUCGUAACAAGGUUUCCGUAGGUGAACCUGCGGAAGGAUCAUUAUUGAAUAAAUCUGACAUGGUUGUAGCUGGUUCUUCGGGGCACGUGCUCGCCUGUCACCUUUAUCUUUCCACCUGUGCACACACUGUAGUCCUGGAUACCUCUCGCCGCAAGGCGGAUGCAGAGACUGCUGCUCAGCCUCCGAAAGGGGGAGGACGGCUAUCUCUGAAUUUCCAGGUCUACGAUUAUCACAUACCCCAAUUGAAUGUUACAGAAUGUUAUCAAAGGGCCUUGUGCCUAUAAACCUAUACAACUUUCAGCAACGGAUCUCUUGGCUCUC